GAUGAACGCUGGCGGCGUGGAUAAGGCAUGCAAGUCAAACGAUCCUUGUAUUUAUAUAAGGGUAGUGGCAAACGGGGUAGUAACAGGUAGGAACAUACCCAUGAGUCGUGAAUAACUGCGAGAAAUCGUAGCUAAUACACGAUAUCCCUCCGGGGGAAAGAUUUAUCGCUCAUGGAAUGGCCUGCUUCGUAUCAGCUAGUUGGUAAGGUAAAAGCUUACCAAGGCUACGACGCGUAGGGGAGGUGAGAGCCUGACCCCCACCAUUGGAACUGCGACACGGUCCAAACUCCUACGGGAGGCUGCAGUCGAGAAUCUUCCGCAAUGCACGAAAGUGUGACGGAGCGACGCCGCGUGAUGGAUGAAGUACCUAGGUAUGUAAACAUCUUUUAUAGGUGAGGAAUUAUAUUGACGUUAACCUAUGAAUAAGAGGUUCCUAAACUCG
rnacentral:rRNA from 1 species